UAUCUAUUUUGUCUACAAAAUACUGUAUAUAAAACCUUAUUUAACUAAUUAUUACAGAUUUCUACAUUCUAGAGAAAGAAAUAUCACUAAAACCCGCCCCUCGUCUAUCUUUCAUUGUGUUGAUUACUGGAGUGAUAAUAAUGAUGAUAGCGUUUGCUGGUUUGAUCCUUUACUGUGUCUGCAAGAAUAGAAAAGGUGUCAAACAGGUGGAAGAUUCAAACUAUGAUGAUGUUGAGACUUUGCUGCAGAAGAUGACUGGAGACACAUGGAGCAGCGUUACCUACUUCACAGUAGGAAGAAAGCAAACAACUUAUAAAGCUGUCACACAACUCAGUUAAAGGCACAAUAUGUACGAUUAUUUUGGUAACACAUUCAACACAGGCUCAUUCUGAAACCGUAGCC